rnacentral:rRNA from 1 species
CGGGAAUUUUGGGCAAUGGGCGAAAGCCUGACCCAGCAACGCCGCGUGAGGGAUGAAGUAUUUCGGUAUGUAAACCUCGAAAGAAUGGGAAGAAUAAAUGACGGUACCAUUUAUAAGCUCCGGCUAACUACGUGCCAGCAGCCGCGGUAAUACGUAGGGAGCAAGCGUUGUUCGGAUUUACUGGGCGUAAAGGGCGCGUAGGCGGCGCGGUAAGUCACUUGUGAAAUCUCUGAGCUUAACUCAGAACGGCCAAGUGAUACUGCUGUGCUAGAGUGCGGAAGAGNCAACCGGAAUUCUUGGUGUAGCGGUGAAAUGCGUAGAUAUCAAGAGGAACACCCGAGGCGAAGGCGGGUUGCUGGGCCGACACUGACGCUGAUGCGCGAAAGCCAGGGGAGCAAACG